rnacentral:ncRNA from 1 species
GUUCGAUUCCGGAGAGGGAGCCUGAGAAACGGUUACCACAUCCAAGGAAGGCAGCAGGCGCGCAAAUUACCCAUUCCCGACGCGGGGAGGUAGUGACGAAAAAUAACAAUGCAGGACUCGUUCGAGGCCCUGUAAUUGGAAUGAGUACACUUUAAAAGCUUUAACGAGUAUCCAUUGGAGGGCAAGUCUGGUGCCAGCAGCCGCGGUAAUUGCCAGCUCCAAAAGUAUAUAUUUAAGUUGUUGCGGUUAAAAAGCUCGUAGUUGGAUUUUGGGCGCAUGCGGCCGGUCCGUCGCAAGGCGUGUACUGGACGUCCUGGCCUUCCCUCCGGUUCUCCGCCGGUGCUCUUGACUGAGUGUCGGCGGCGGCCGGAACGUUUACUUUGAAAAAAUUAGAGUGUUCAAAGCAGGCUCUCGAGCCUGGAUAAUGGUGCAUGGAAUAAUGGAAUAGGACCUCGGUUCUAUUUUGUUGGUUUUCGGAGCGCGAGGUAAUGAUUAAGAGGGACAGACGGGGGCAUUCGUACUGUGCCGUUAGAGGUGAAAUUCUUGGAUCGGCGCAAGACGAACGACUGCGAAAGCAUUUGCCAAGAAUGUUUUCUUUAAUCAAGAGCGAAAGUCAGAGGUUCGAAGACGAUCAGAUACCGUCCUAGUUCUGACUAUAAACGAUGCCAACUAGCGAUCGGGGGGCGUUACAUUGACGACCCCUCCGGCAGCUUACGGGAAACCAAAGUCUUUGGGUUCCGGGGGAAGUAUGGUUGCAAAGCUGAAACUUAAAGGAAUUGACGGAAGGGCACCACCAGGAGUGGAGCCUGCGGCUUAAUUUGCCUCAACACGGGAAAAUUUACCCCGGCCCGGGCCCCGGGGGGAUUGCCAAAUGGAAAACCUUUUUUUG